rnacentral:sRNA from 1 species
UGGCGCGAAGCUACCGUGC